rnacentral:rRNA from 1 species
AUGCUGCGCUCGCUCGCGGCCGCCGCCAACGCCAUGGCAGCCACCCGCCGCCUCCUAUGCACGGGAACCGCAGAUGUGGCCCCCUCCCUAACCCACCUCCUCGCUCUGCCUGCCGUCACUCCGUCGCCCACCGCCGACGAGCUCGCGCGCCUGCUCCUCGCGCACCACAACCCCUUCCACCCGUCCGAGUCGCCCCUCCAGCUCCUCUCCGGCGGGGGCGUCUCCCUCUCCCAGGAGCUCCUCGUGCAGAUCCUCCUCCGCCUCCGCGGCGCGUCCAAGCUCGCGCUCUCACUCCUCAACGCCGUCCGCCUCCACCCGUCCGUCUCCUCCCCGCCGAACGCCGACGCCUACGACGCCGUCGUCGACGCCCUCGGCCGGGCGCACCAGUUCGACGCCGCGUGGCGGCUCGUCGUCGAGGCCGCGGCGGACGGCGCCGCCACGCCCCGCACGUUCGCGGUGCUCGCCAGGAGGUACGUCGCCGCGGGAUUGACCAGGCAGGCGGUGCGCGCGUUCGACGACAUGGAGGCUUUCCUAGGGAGAGAGCCCGAUGCGCAGGAGUUCACCACUCUUCUCGACACGCUCUGCAAGUACAAGUAUCCCAAGGUUGCUGUGGAGAUAUUCAAUAAAAGAAAAUACAAAUAUGAACCAAAUGAAAAGAUGUACACUAUCCUAAUUUAUGGCUGGUGCAAGGUAAACCGAAGUGACAUGUCUCAGAAAUUCCUAAAAGAUAUGAUUGAUCAUGGGAUAGAGCCGAACCUAGUUACAUACAACAUUCUCUUAAAUGGUAUCUGUAGGCAUGCAAGUUUGCACCCUGAUAACCGGUUUGAUAGAACAGUUAACGCAGCUGAGAAUCUCUUGAAGGAGAUGAGUGACAGGGGAAUUGAACCAGAUGUAACGAGCUACUCAAUCAUCCUGCAUGUUUACAGUCGUGCACAUAAAGCUGAGCUAUGUUUGUGUAUGUUCCGCUCGAUGAAGGAUAGAGGCAUUUGCCCCACAGUGGCAACCUACACUUCUGUGAUCAAGUGCCUUGCUUCGUGUGGGAGACUGGAAGAUGCUGAGAAGUUGCUCGGUGAGAUGGUUAGUGAGUGGGUGUGUCCCUCCCCAGCGACCUACAAUUGCUUCUUCAAAGAGUACCGAGGGAGAAAAGAUGUUAGUGGCGCCCUUGAAUUGUACAACAAGAUGAAGGCUCCUUGUUCACCAACUGCACCAGAUAUUCAUAGUUACAAUAUAUUGCUUGGAAUGUUCAUCAAGUUGGACCGACAUGAAACUGUUAUGGAACUUUGGAAUGAUAUGUGUGAGAGCACCGUGGGUCCUGAUCUUGAUUCAUAUACAUUGCUGAUUCAUGGUUUUUGUGUCAAGGAAAAGUGGAAGGAGGCAUGCCAGUUCUUCAUGGAAAUGAUAGAGAAAGGUUUUCUUCCCCAGAAGAUCACCUUUGAAACACUGUAUCGCGGUCUUAUACAAGCGGACAUGUUAAGGACCUGGAGAAGGCUGAAAAAAAGGGUUGAUGAAGAAUCAGCAAAAUUUGGCGAUGAAUACAAAUCAUAUCACAUCAAGCCUUACAAGAGGUGA